rnacentral:rRNA from 1 species
GAUGAACGCUGGCGGCGUGCCUAAUACAUGCAAGUCGAGCGGACGGACGCGACGCUUGCUUCUCUGAUGUUAGCGGCGGACGGGUGAGUAACACGUGGAUAACCUACCUAUAAGACUGGGAUAACUUCGGGAAACCGGAGCUAAUACCGGAUAAUAUUUUGAACCGCAUGGUUCAAAAGUGAAAGACGGUCUUGCUGUCACUAAUCGAUGGAUCCGCGCUGCAUUAGCUGGUUGGUAAGGUAACGGCUUACCAGGGCAACGCUGCAUAGCCGACCUGAGGGCGGGUUGGGGCCCUCUGGAGCUGAGCGGCGGUCCAGGCUCCGACGGGAGGCAGCGGUAGGGACGCUUGCGCAAUGGGCGGAAGCCUGCCGGAGCAGCGGAGCGUGAGUGAUGAAGGGCUUCGGGUCGUAAAACGCUGUUAGGAGGGAAGAACAUAUGUGUAUGUAACGGUGCGCAUCUGGACGGUACCGAAUCAGAAGGCCACGCCUACCUCCGG